GUAUGCGAUCAUACCAGCACURAUACACAGUAGAUCCCRWUYCCCAUCAGAACUCCGCAGUUAAGCGUGCUUGGGCGAAUAUUGUACUAGGAUGGGUGACCUCCCGGGAAGUCCUCGUGUUGCAUCCC
rnacentral:rRNA from 14 species